rnacentral:lncRNA from 1 species
GGAACAUGUGUAACAAGAUUGUUCUAUCAGCAUAUGAUGAAUAAGCCAUGUACAAAGUUAGAGGAGUACAUGGGAUGGUGGCUUGAAGAUGCUUAUCUCAUUUAGGACCUUUGUUUUGGGAGAUGCUGUUUUUCCAGCAGUUAAAAGAGAACUUAGCUUGUCUCUGUUUCUUGAUUCCUCUUCAAUUUCUGUUUGCAAACCAAGACUUGUGUUUGGAGAACUUUGUUGUACUGAGCCUAAGUCAUUUUUGAUCUAUAACGAGAACAUGCAUUUUCACAUGUCAACCGGAUUUGUGGACCAGUAAAGUUCUCCCCAAAGGUAAGCAUAUAUGUUUUCAAAAUAUACAUUUUAAAAUAGAAUACUCUCAAUGCCUUUACCAUAGUA